rnacentral:rRNA from 1 species
CCUACGGGAGGCAGCAGUGGGGAAUAUUGCACAAUGGGCGAAAGCCUGAUGCAGCGACGCCGCGUGAGGGAUGACGGCCUUCGGGUUGUAAACCUCUUUCAGCAGGGAAGAAGCGAAAGUGACGGUACCUGCAGAAGAAGCGCCGGCUAACUACGUGCCAGCAGCCGCGGUAAUACGUAGGGCGCAAGCGUUGUCCGGAAUUAUUGGGCGUAAAGAGCCCGUAGGCGGCUUGUCACGUCGGGUGUGAAAGCCCGGGGCUUAACCCCGGGUCUGCAUUCGAUACGGGCUAGCUAGAGUGUGGUAGGGGAGAUCGGAAUUCCUGGUGUAGCGGUGAAAUGCGCAGAUAUCAGGAGGAACACCGGUGGCGAAGGCGGAUCUCUGGGCCAUUACUGACGCUGAGGAGCGAAAGCGUGGGGAGCGAACAGGAUUAGAUACCCUGGUAGUCCACGCCGUAAACGGUGGGAACUAGGUGUUGGCGACAUUCCACGUCGUCGGUGCCGCNGCUACGACAUUAAGUUACCCGUCCCGUCGGGGAGGUACGGCCGGCCGAACGGACGUAAAACCGUUAAACUAAAGUAAGUAAGUUAAGGUACGGUCGUUGAGUACGUUCGACGACGGACGACCGACGGAGGGAGGAGG